rnacentral:misc_RNA from 1 species
GGAAGGAUCAUUAACGAAUCGUGUUGGUGCAUAUUUUAGUGUGCAUCACAUAUGUGCUCUCCAGGCAACUGGGGGUGCAAAUAUAUAUACAUAUAUGUGUUUUUUGUACUUUUGAUUUAACGUCGUACGAUGUUGGUAGUAAUAUCAAAAUCAUAUGAUCAAGAAAUAUAUGACACUUUUAACAAUGGAUCUCUUGGCUCUUGCAUCGAUGAAGAACGCAGUAAUGUGCGAAAAGUAAUGCGAAUUGCAUACCUCUGCGAGUCAUCUAGUCUUUGAACGCAAAUGGCACUGCUACGACGAGUGGCAGUAUGUCUGUUUGAGAACCGCAAAACCCAUCACCAUAUUUUAUGGUGGACUUGUCCCUUGUGUUGUAAAGUGUAUCUUAUCAUAUAUUAUAUUAUAUUGUAUGCUUACAUAUGGGAUUAAAACACUAGUGUUGCGGGCACUCUAAGAGUAUGUGAUAAUCAUUCAUAUUCCAGGGAGCUUCGUGAUGAUUUGAUUAUAUGAUGUAUCAUAUGAACAUCACAUCAUCCGCGUAACACCAAAACUAUAUCAUUUAAACACGGUCUCAAAUCAGACAAGAUUACCCGCUGAACUUAAGCAUAUCAGUAAGCGGAGGAAAAGAAACUAACAAGGAUUCCCGUAGUAACUGCGAGUGAAGUGGGAAUAGCUCAAAUUUAAAAUCUGGUCCACCUGUGGAUCCGAAUUGUAGUCUAUAGAGGUGCUUUCUUGGGGACGUGUGCGCACAAGUGUCCUGGAAUGGACCAUCACAGAGGGUGAGAAUCCCGUUUGGGCGCAUAACGUCCUCAUCUAUGAGGCACUCUCGAAGAGUCGAGUUGUUUGGGAAUGCAGCUCAAAUUGGGUGGUAAACUUCAUCCAAGGCUAAAUAUUGGCAAGAGACCGAUAGCGAACAAGUACCGUGAGGGAAAGAUGAAAAGCACCUUGAAAAGGGAGUGAAAUAGCGCGUGAAAUUGUUAAAAGGGAAACGAUUGACGCCAGCAUUGUGUGCAUGUGUGGGGGGUGCUUGUGCAUACUGUGAGAGCGAAAGCCUUGCACGUGCAUUACACACCCGACACGGCACGCGAGUCAGGGCCGCUUCGACCUGCCUUAUAAUACUGUGGGAAGGUAGUCAUCACUUGUGAUGACCUUAUAGCCCAGAGGGAUGUGGUGGGAUGGAGCUGGUAGUGUGGAAUGUUUCUGAUUGCGUGUUUUGUGCUUGUAGACUGCGUGCAGACUAUAAACAUAGGAUAUGUAAUAACACUAACUACAUCACACAGGCCUGACGGAAUGGCGUUAACCGACCCGUCUUGAAACACGGACCAAGGAGUCUAACAUGUAUGCGAGUGUUUGGGUGGCAAACCCGAGCGCGCAAUGAAAGUAAUUAGUGUGGGACCACGUCAAGUGGGCACCACGGACCGAUCUUGAUAUCUCUUGAUAGACUCGAGUCAGAGCAUAAAUGUUGGGACCCGAAAGAUGGUGAACUAUGCCUGGAUAGGAUGAAGCCAGAGGAAACUCUGGUGGAGGUCCGCCGCCGUUCUGACGUGCAAAUCGAUGGUCAAAUUUGGGCAUAGGGGCGAAAGACUAAUCGAACCAUCUAGUAGCUGGUUCCCUC